UACGUAGGCAGCGAGCGUUGUUCGGAGUUACUGGGCGUAAAGCGUGCGUAGGCGGUGUCUUAAGUUUGUUGUGAAAUCUCCCGGCUUAACCGGGAGGGUGCGGCGAAUACUGAGAUGCUGGAGUGCCGGAGAGGUAAGCGGAAUUCCUGGUGUAGCGGUGAAAUGCGUAGAUAUCAGGAGGAACACCUGCGGUGUAGACGGCUUACUGGACAGUAACUGACGCUGAGGCACGAAAGCGUGGGUAGCAAACAGG
rnacentral:rRNA from 1 species